CCUUAAAAAAAAAACCUUCUGACACUGCAGUAGUGAAAAUGAAGCGCACGAUGGGCGGAAGCUAGGAAGACAAACAUAAAGAUGAAGUGCUUAAUUCAAGGUCACACAAUGUCGGGGAUGGACCUCCAGAUUUCCUUACUGGUGAGACGUGGUCUUGUAACACAGUGGUUAAGAAUGUGACUUUGGAGCCAGCCUGCUAGGGGCUGAAUUCUGACUCAGCCAUUUACUAACUGUGUGACCUUAGGUCACAGAAUUUUCCACACUCCUUGACAGAGGUGCUUAACCCUUAUCCAUCAGCAUUCUCAGACAGCACCUCCGGUUAGGGACAGUAUCUGACCGUCCGACAUCCCUGCAGCCCCCAUGUGUCACACAGACUCAGCCUCAGGUAGAUGGUUUCCGUAGAUGGUGGCUUUCUUUGGACCCUUGACAUCAACCAGUUACUAUUUGCCAGAGACAGACUCCCAGACUCGGCCAGAGGCUGAUGCCAACUCCUUCCAGCUCU
rnacentral:lncRNA from 10 species